GCGGGGGAGGUAAUGCACUGCUCGAACUCAAGGCAGCAGUUCGGAGCCCGGGGGCGGCUCCCAGGCCGGGCAGGGCGAGUCCGCGGGGAGCUUUCAGCCCUGGAUCGAGGGAGAUUGCAAACACUCAGCAAACCCCCCCUCUCCGGAGGGAGCGACCCUGAACCGCAGUCAAUUAAUCCCAGCUGGGGCAUCUCGCACUGUAACACCGAUGGAUUCAGAAGCAGCCCAUGACUGUGGAGUGUGUUCAGACUCCAGAGGCUGGGGAAAAUGAAGAUCAUCUGGUAAACAGAAUGGUGGUAGAGCCCUAUACUGGAGUGAGAUGGAGAACUGUUUCUCUGAAGUCCACCAGCCUUUCACUUGCAGGCUAGUUGUGAUAAUGACAAGAAACUGGAGCUGAAACAUGAGGAGCAGAACCUAAUUAAUAAUGAAGGACAUGGUGAGGAGUUCAGCUCUGAAAUCCAGUGAGCGGCAGUAUCAUCAAACACGGGAAUGUCUCCCAUGGAACGCUGAUGCUGUUAAAAAAACAGCAACCAAGCAUCUGCAAAGAGACUUAUUUUAGCAGCUGAUGCUCCAAUUUAGU